UACGUAGGGGGCAAGCGUUGGUCCGGAUUUACUGGGCGUAAAGAGCGUGUAGGCGGCCACGCAGGUCCGUUGUGAAACUGGAAGGCUCAACCUCCAGCUGUCGACGGAAACCGUAUGGCUAGAGUCCGGAAGAGGAGAGUGGAAUUCCUGGUGUAGCGGUGAAAUGCGCAGAUAUCAGGAAGAACACCAAUGGCGAAGGCAGCUCUCUGGGAACGGUA
rnacentral:rRNA from 1 species